CGACAUUCCAAGGUUUGUUGUGUAUCUUCAUAAAAUGUUGGUCUUCUCAGGAGUUCAAGUUAUGUACAUCACCUUGUCCUUUCUUCUAUGUUCUGAAAGUGCCAUUAUAAAAAGAGCAUUUCAUAUACACAAGACACCGUGGUGCAAUUAUGGUGACACGGUUUGAAGCAUGCUGAGUUUUAAUGGAGCUACGUAUCCCUGGGGAUAUUAUUAUGAUUGCAGUUUUGCCCUGAAGUCUACAGUGGGUCAGAGAUUGUGUCAUCAGGUUCCCAUAGCCCCAGAAGAUUGGGUGAAUCUCUGUGUAGGAUCCA